rnacentral:siRNA from 1 species
UAUGUUCACCACGUCAGCUCGUCC